rnacentral:lncRNA from 10 species
UUCAGGCCAGAUGAUUUAUUUCAUAGUUUAAAACCCUCAGCAGUGACAAGAGCAAUGAGAGAGAAAUUGUGUCUUGUUCCUCCUUGGUUUGGGCCAGUUUCUGAUAAUGUAUUUGUUACUCUCCUCUCUCCAAGCAGUAGCAUUCAAGGUUGUUAGAGACUGGUGCUGUUCACAUAGCACAGGAUGCAGCAAAAGUAGUUCUAAAAGAGAAGUUUGUAGCAAUAAAUGCCUACAUUAGAAAAGAUGAAAGAUCCCAAGUAAAUAGCCAAACAUUGUGCCUCAA